rnacentral:rRNA from 1 species
AUUGAACGCUGGCGGCAGGCUUAACACAUGCAAGUCGAACGAGUGGCGGACGGGUGAGUAAUGCUUGGGAAUCUAGCUUAUGGAGGGGGAUAACUACGGGACACUGUAGCUAAUACCGCGUACCAUAGGAUGAGCCCAAGUGGGAUUAGGUAGUUGGUGAGGUAAAGGCUCACCAAGCCGACGAUCCCUAGCUGGUCUGAGAGGAUGACCGGCCACACUGGAACUGAAACACUGUCCAGACUCCUACGUGAGGCAGCAGUGGGGAAUAUUGCACAGUGGUCGCAAGCCUGAUGCAGCCAUGCCGAGUGUUGGAAGAAGGCCUUCGGGUUGUAAAGCACUUUCAGCGAGGAGGCGUUACUCGCAGAAGAAGCACCGGCUAACUCCGUGCCAGCAGCCGCGGUAAUUC